rnacentral:rRNA from 1 species
UACGGGGGGGGCAAGCGUUGUUCGGAAUUACUGGGCGUAAAGGGCUCGUAGGCGGCCCUCUCAGUCGGAUGUGAAAUCCCCAGGCUUAACCUGGGAACGGCAUCCGAUACUGGAUGGCUUGAGUUUGGGAGAGGGAUGCGGAAUUCCAGGUGUAGCGGUGAAAUGCGUAGAUAUCUGGAGGAACACCGGUGGCGAAGGCGGCAUCCUGGACCAACACUGACACUGAGGAGCGAAAGCCAGGGGAGCAAACAGG